CCUACGGGAGGCAGCAGUGAGGAAUAUUGGUCAAUGGGCUUACGCCUGAACCAGCCAAGUCGCGUGAGGGAAGACUGCCCUAUGGGUUGUAAACCUCUUUUGUCAGGGAGCAACGCCGGCUACGUGUAGCCGGACUGAGAGUACCUGAAGAUAAAGCAUGGGCUACCUCCGGUCCAGAAGCCGCGGUAAUACGGAGGAUGCGCGCGUUAUCCGGUUUUUUUAGGUUUAAAGGGUGCGUAGGCGGAAUGCCAAGUCAGCGGGAAAAUCGCGGGGCUCAACCUCGCUCCGCCGUUGAAACUGGCGUUCUUGAGGGGGCGAGAAGUAUGCGGAAUGCGGGGUGUAGCGGUGAAAUGCAUAGAUAUCACGCAGAACCCCGAUGGCGAAGGCAGCAUACCGGCGCCCAACUGACGCUGAAGCACGAAAGCGUGGGGAGCGAACAGGAUUAGAUACCCGAGUAGUC
rnacentral:rRNA from 1 species